AGUGAACGCUGGCGGCGUGCUUAACACAUGCAAGUCGAACGAGAACGGGUUAUAACUUGUUAUAACUGUCAGCUAAGUGGCGCACGGGUGAGUAAUGUAUAGGUAAUAUGCCUCUUACUAAGGGAUAACAAAUGGAAACGUUUGCUAAUACCUUAUACUCCUUAUUAACCUAAGUUAAUAAGGGAAAGAUUUAUUGGUAAGAGAUUAGCCUGUAUUGUAUCAGUUAGUUGGUGGGGUAAUGGCUUACCAAGACUAUGACACAUAACUGGUUUGAGAGGAUGAUCAGUCACACCGGAACUGAGACACGGUCCAGACUCCUACGGGAGGCGGCAGUGGGGAAUAUUGCACAAUGGACGAAAGUCUGAUGCAGCAACGCCGCGUGGAGGAUGACACAUUUCGGUGCGUAAACUCCUUUUAUAUGAGAAGAUAAUGACGGUAUUAUAUGAAUAAGCACCGGCUAACUCCGUGCCAGCCGCCGCCGUAAGAC
rnacentral:rRNA from 1 species